AACGACUCUCGGCAACGGAUAUCUCGGCUCACGCAUCGAUGAAGAACGUAGCAAAAUGCGAUACUUGGUGUGAAUUGCAGAAUCCCGUGAACCAUCGAGUUUUUGAACGCAAGUUGCGCCCGAAGCCUUUUGGUUGAGGGCACGUCUGCCUGGGCGUCACGCA
rnacentral:rRNA from 2 species